CCCUUAGAUGUCCGGGGCCGCACGCGCGCUACACUGAAGGAAUCAGCGUGGCUUUCUCCCUGACCCGAAAGGGUUGGGAAACCCGCUGAAUCUCCUUCGUGAUAGGGAUUGGGGCUUGAAAUUGUUCCCCAUGAACGAGGAAUUCCCAGUAAGCGCGAGUCAUAAGCUCGCGUUGAUUACGUCCCUGCCCUUUGUACACACCGCCCGUCGCUACUACCGAUUGAACGGUUUAGUGAGGGCCUCGGAUUGGUCUCGGCCCGCUCUUUACCGGGCGGCGCCGUUGGUCGAGAAGACGCUCGAACUUGAUCGUUUAGAGGAAGUAAAAGUCGUAACA
rnacentral:rRNA from 1 species